GCUACCUGCAGUCGGAGGUAGCACAGAGGAGCUUGCUCCUCGGGUGACGAGUGGCGGACGGGUGAGUAAUGUCUGGGGAUCUGCCCGAUAGAGGGGGAUAACCACUGGAAACGGUGGCUAAUACCGCAUAACGUCGCAAGACCAAAGAGGGGGACCUUCGGGCCUCUCACUAUCGGAUGAACCCAGAUGGGAUUAGCUAGUAGGCGGGGUAAUGGCCCACCUAGGCGACGAUCCCUAGCUGGUCUGAGAGGAUGACCAGCCACACUGGAACUGAGACACGGUCCAGACUCCUACGGGAGGCAGCAGUGGGGAAUAUUGCACAAUGGGCGCAAGCCUGAUGCAGCCAUGCCGCGUGUAUGAAGAAGGCCUUCGGGUUGUAAAGUACUUUCAGCGGGGAGGAAGGCGGUGAGGUUAAUAACCUCGCCGAUUGACGUUACCCGCAGAAGAAGCACCGGCUAACUCCGUGCCAGCAGCCGCGGUAAUACGGAGGGUGCAAGCGUUAAUCGGAAUUACUGGGCGUAAAGCGCACGCAGGCGGUCUGUUAAGUCAGAUGUGAAAUCCCCGGGCUUAACCUGGGAACUGCAUUUGAAACUGGCAGGCUUGAGUCUCGUAGAGGGGGGUAGAAUUCCAGGUGUAGCGGUGAAAUGCGUAGAGAUCUGGAGGAAUACCGGUGGCGAAGGCGGCCCCCUGGACGAAGACUGACGCUCAGGUGCGAAAGCGUGGGGAGCAAAUAGGAUUAGAUACCCUGGUAGUCCACGCCGUAAACGAUGUCGACUUGGAGGUUGUUCCCUUGAGGAGUGGCUUCCGGAGCUAACGCGUUAAGUCGACCGCCUGGGGAGUACGGCCGCAAG
rnacentral:rRNA from 1 species